AAAUCCUGACUAGUAAUGGAAAGGAUGGAUUUAUUACAUACAAAAACCAAUGCAUUAAAUUGUUAAAGAUUUGGAUGGUCUUUAUUGGUGAUUCAUAAUAACUUUACAGAUCGUACGGCCUUGUGCUGACGAUAAUUCAUUCAAAUUUCUGCCCUAUCAACUUUCGAUGGUAGUAUAGAGGACUACCAUGGUGGUAACGGGUAACGGAGAAUCAGGGUUUGAUUCCGGAGAAGGAGCCUGAGAAACGGCUACUACUUCUAAGGAAGGCAGCAGGCGCGCAAAUUACCCAAUCCCGACACGGGGAGGUAGUGACAAAAAAUAACAAUAUCGAUAAAUUAUUUUAUUGAUAAUUGGAAUGAGUACAAUCUAAAUCCCUUAACGAGUAACAAUUGGAGGGCAAGUCUGGUGCCAGCAGCCGCGGUAAUUCCAGCUCCAAUAGCAUAUAUUAAAGUUGUUGCAGUUAAAAAGCUCGUAGUUGGAUUUUAAAGUUUUCUGUUUUGCGCCAUAAUUUUUAAUUAUGUGUUUUGUGAUUAUAUCCUUACUAGAUAUUCACAAUUAUUUUUAAUUAAAUAGUUGGUUUUAUUCGAAAGGAUAAAAUGCUUAAUAGGUCUGGGAAUUAAGAUGUGGUUUAUUUACGAGGCAACUUGUUGAAUAAAUCUGCUUAAUUAACUUCUAUUAAGUAGAAUUCUAGUUCAUUUACUUUGAGUAAAUUAGAGUGUUCAAAGCAAACAAGCAUUGUUGCAAUGAAUACUAUUAGCAUGGGAUAAUGGAACAGGACAUUGGGUCUAUUUUGUUGGUUUUUAGAACUAAUGUAAUGAUUAAAAGGGAUAGUUGGGGGCAUUAGUAUUUAAUUGUCAGAGGUGAAAUUCUUGGAUUUAUUAAAGACUAACUUCUGCGAAAGCAUUUGUCAAAGAUGUUUUCAUUAAUCAAGAACGAAAGUUAGGGGAUCGAAGACGAUCAGAUACCGUCGUAGUCUUAACCAUAAACUAUGCCGACCAGGGAUUGGAACCGGGUAGCACCGGCGAUGACUCCCUCGGAACCUUUUUACGAGAAAUCACAAGUUUUUGGGUUCUGGGGGGAGUAUGGUCGCAAGGCUGAAACUUAAAGGAAUUGACGGAAGGGCACCACCAGGAGUGGAGCCUGCGGCUUAAUUUGACUCAACACGGGAAAACUCACCAGGUCCGGACACAGUUAGGAUUGACAGAUUGAGAGCUCUUUCUUGAUUCUGUGGUUGGUGGUGCAUGGCCGUUCUUAGUUGGUGGAGUGAUUUGUCUGGUUAAUUCCGAUAACGAACGAGACCUCAGCCUACUAAUUAGUUGUAAUAAUGAUAACAUUAUUGACGCAAGUGCAACUUUUUAAAAAACUUGUUUUCAUUUUUAUCAGAUUAUGGUAAAACAUAAUUUUUACUUCUUAGAGGGACACUUGGUGUUUAACCAAGGGAAGUUUGAGGCAAUAACAGGUCUGUGAUGCCCUUUAGAUGUUCUGGGCUGCACGCGCGCUACACUGAUACAAUCAACAAGCACAAAAGACCUCAUCCGAAAGGAUCGGGUAAACUUAUGAAAUUGUAUCGUGCUGGGGAUCGAUAAUUGCAAUUAUUUAUCGUGAACGAGGAAUUCCUAGUAAGCACAAGUCAACAGCUUGUGCUGAUUACGUCCCUGCCCUUUGUACACACCGCCCGUCGCUGCCUCUGAUGGUUGGUCCGGUGAAAUCUUAGGAUUCGAGACAGUCACUUAAACGU
rnacentral:rRNA from 1 species